AGGACGAACGCUGGCGGCGUGCUUAACACAUGCAAGUCGAACGGAAAGGCCCUUCGGGGUACUCGAGUGGCGAACGGGUGAGUAACACGUGGGUGAUCUGCCCCGCACUUUGGGAUAAGCCUGGGAAACUGGGUCUAAUACCGAAUAGGACCAUGGCAUGCAUGUGCUGUGGUGGAAAGCUUUUGCGGUGUGGGAUGGGCCCGCGGCCUAUCAGCUUGUUGGUGGGGUUAAGGCCUACCAAGGCGACGACGGGUAGCCGGCCUGAGAGGGUGUCCGGCCACACUGGGACUGAGAUACGGCCCAGACUCCUACGGGAGGCAGCAGUGGGGAAUAUUGCACAAUGGGCGCAAGCCUGAUGCAGCGACGCCGCGUGGGGAUGACGGCCUUCGGGUUGUAACCCUUUCAGUAGGACGAAGCGCAGUGACGGUACCUACAGAAGAGCACCGGCCAACUACGCGCCAGCAGCCGC
rnacentral:rRNA from 1 species